AUUGAACGCUGGCGGCGUGCUUAACACAUGCAAGUCGAGCGGUAACAGGUGUAACAAUACAUGCUGACGAGCGGCGAACGGGUGAGUAAUGCUUCGGAAUCUGCCCAGUAAUGGGGAAUAACUAGCCGAAAGGUUAGCUAAUACCGCAUACGACCUACGGGUGAAAGCGGGGAGUCGCAAGACCUCGCGUUAUUGGGUGAGCCGAAGUCGGAUUAGCUUGUUGGUGAGGUAACGGCNCACCAAGGCGACGAUCCGUAGCUGGUCUGAGAGGAC
rnacentral:rRNA from 1 species